AUUCAACGCUGGCGGCAGGCCUAACACAUGCCAGUCGAGCGGAUGAAGGGAGCUUGCUCCUGGAUUCAGCGGCGGACGGGUGAGUAAUGCCUAGGAAUCUGCCUGGUAGUGGGGGAUAACGUCCGGAAACGGGCGCUAAUACCGCAUACGUCCUGAGGGAGAAAGUGGGGGAUCUUCGGACCUCACGCUAUCAGAUGAGCCUAGGUCGGAUUAGCUAGUUGGUGGGGUAAAGGCCUACCAAGGCGACGAUCCGUAACUGGUCUGAGAGGAUGAUCAGUCACACUGGAACUGAGACACGGUCCAGACUCCUACGGGAGGCAGCAGUGGGGAAUAUUGGACAAUGGGCGAAAGCCUGAUCCAGCCAUGCCGCGUGUGUGAAGAAGGUCUUCGGAUUGUAAAGCACUUUAAGUUGGGAGGAAGGGCAGUAAGUUAAUACCUUGCUGUUUUGACGUUACCAACAGAAUAAGCACCGGCUAACUUCGUG
rnacentral:rRNA from 1 species